rnacentral:siRNA from 1 species
CGAUUCGUCUUGCAUACUGUGAC